UGCAGUUGUGUUUUCAGGUGUGGUCAGCGCUGUCGGCGCCAUCAUGCAGUUGUGUGGUCAGAUGUGGUCAGCUCUGUCGGCGACUUCAUGCAGUUGUGUGGUCAGGUGUGGUCAGCUCUGUCGGCGCCAUCAUGCAGUUGUGUGGUCAGGUGUGGUCAGCUCCGUCGGUGCCAUCAUGCAGUUGUGUGGUCAGGUGUGGUCAGCUCUGUCAGCGCCAUCAUGCAGUUGUGUGGUCAGGUGUGGUCAGCGCUGUCGGCGCCAUUAUGCAGUUGUGUGGUCAGGUGUGGUCAGC
ensembl:lncRNA